CCUACGGGUGGCAGCAGUGGGGAAUAUUGCACAAUGGGGGAAACCCUGAUGCAGCGACGCCGCGUGAGUGAAGAAGGAUCUCGGUAUGUAACGCUCUAUCAGCAGGGCAGCAAAUGCCGGUACCUGACUAAGAAGCCGCGGCUAACUACGUGCCAGCAGCCGCGGUAAUACGUAGGGGGCAAGCGUGAGCCGGAUUUACUGGGUGUAAAGGGAGCGUAGACGGCGCUGCAAGUUCGGAGUGAAACUCCAUGGCUUAACCAUGGUACUGCGCUGGAUACUUUGGAGCUUGAGUGCGGGAGGGGCAGGCGGAAUUCCUAGUGUAGCGGUGAAAUGCGUAGAUAUUAGGAGGAACACCAGCGGCGAAGGCGGCCUGCUGGACCGUAACUGACGUUGAGGCUCGAAAGCGUGGGGAGCAAACAGGAUUAGAUACCCCUGUAGUC
rnacentral:rRNA from 1 species